rnacentral:rRNA from 1 species
UACAGAGGGUGCGAACGUUGUUCGGAAUUACUGGGCGUAAAGCGCGUGUAGGCGGCCAACUAAGUCGGGCGUGAAAUCCCACGGCUCAACCGUGGAAGUGCACUCGAAACUGGAUGGCUAGAGUCCUGGAGAGGAAGGUGGAAUGCUUGGUGUAGAGGUGAAAUUCGUAGAUAUCAAGCGGAACACCGGUGGCGAAGGCGGCCUUCUGGACAGUGACUGACGGCUGAGACGCG